rnacentral:rRNA from 1 species
AUUGAACGCUGGCGGCAGGCCUAACACAUGCAGUCGAACGGUAACAGGAAGCAGCUUGCUGCUUCGCUGACGAGUGGCGGACGGGUGAGUAAUGUCUGGGAAACUGCCUGAUGGAGGGGGAUAACUACUGGAAACGGUAGCUAAUACCGCAUAACGUCGCAAGACCAAAGAGGGGGACCUUCGGGCCUCUUGCCAUCGGAUGUGCCCAGAUGGGAUUAGCUAGUAGGUGGGGUAACGGCUCACCUAGGCGACGAUCCCUAGCUGGUCUGAGAGGAUGACCAGCCACACUGGAACUGAGACACGGUCCAGACUCCUACGGGAGGCAGCAGUGGGGAAUAUUGCACAAUGGGCGCAAGCCUGAUGCAGCCAUGCCGCGUGUAUGAAGAAGGCCUUUCGGGUUGUAAAGUACUUUUCAGCGGGGAGGAAGGCGAUAAGGUUAAUAACCUUGUCGAUUGACGUUACCCGCAGAAGACACCGGCUACUCCAC